rnacentral:rRNA from 1 species
UACGGAGGGUGCGAACGUUAAUCGGAAUCACUGGGCGUAAAGCGCGCGUAGGCGGUCUGUUAAGUGGGAUGUGAAAUCCCCGGGCUUAACCUGGGAAUUGCAUUUCAAACUGGCCGACUAGAGUACGGUAGAGGGAGGUAGAAUUUCCUGUGUAGCGGUGAAAUGCGUAGAGAUCCGGAGGAACCCCAGAGGCGAAGGCGGCGCCCUGGCCCGACACUGACGCUCAGACACGACAGCAUGGGGAGCGAACGGG